UUUUGUUUUGAAAUGAGUUGUCAUUGGGUUUAAAAGGGGGCAGGGCAUGCUAUGAUAAGAGUUUUUAAAGGUUUGCCCUGGGAGUUCUUGCUGUGGCCCAGUGGGUUAAGGACCUGGCAUUGUUACUGCUGUGGCUUGGGUAGCUGCUGUGAAGCAGGUUUGAUCCCUGGCCUGGGAACUUAUGCAUGCCACGGGUGAAGCCAGAAAAAAAAAAUUAGAAAGAAAAAAGAAAAAAGUUUACCCUGGCUGCUGCCUGCUAUGUAUGCUGUGUGGUGGGGGAGAGGGAAGGGAAUAGUGGGUGAGGGCUCUAUCUGCAAACUAUUGCCAUAGUCUAGAUAAGAGUUGCUGAUAGUUUGGACCAGGGCAAUGGCUGUGGGGAUGGUGAGAGAUGGUCAGAUUUGGGAUGUAUUUUAGGAGCAGAGUUGACAGAAAUUACUCAUGAGUGGAAGGUGAGGUGAAGAGAAAGUAGGGAGGCAGGAUACCUCUCAGGUGUUACGCCCUCUCAUAACCUCUUCACUCACCUUUUUGUUCCAUCAGUUGCUGUGACAACAAGCUGGCGCGGGUGUAGUUUGCUGCACUUUGCAGCUCUUGUCUUCUGCUCCAGGGCACUCAGCUGCCUGGGGGAACCUGGAAAUCCAGUAAGUUCACACCUCAGGAGCAACAUCGGACAGAUGGUGGUUUGGAGCAGAAAAGGAGCAGGAGCUGAAAAAGCGAGGCCAGUCUUACAACUCACUGGACUUCUGGCAAGAAUCCCUCCCCAGAACCAACCCUAAUUGCUGACCUGAGUUAUACACAUUCAAGAGAGAAGUAGAAGGUUUUCAUUACAAGUCAUCUAACUCUGCAGGAGUUUGGCUUUGAAAACCCCCUGAAAAGGACUCAUGUGAAUAAAGCGGGGCCAUUCUCAUUGAAGCA
rnacentral:lncRNA from 1 species